ensembl:lncRNA
GUGGGAUCUUUUGUAAAACUAUAAAAACUGAAGGAUUGAUUCAUUUCAAAAUUCAGCGUUAACAGAUCUUGAGACUUGACCAAAUCUCUCUCACUUUUGAACAGGUACCUAAUGUGUGAACGAUAUGCAGACUAUGGAGGCAGUUUCUACAUCUCUAAAUGAGGGAAUUGUCUCUAUCUAUAACAUCUGCAAGUCCCUCAAGGAAGCACAUAUCAAUCCCAUCACUGACACAUGCUCCAAUUACAACCAAAUUAGGAAAAAUAUUACGCAUGCUGAGCAGUGCUUGAAAACAUCUGAGAAAAUGAUUAAAGGAAAACUGGGAGAUCUGGAUGAAAGCAUGUGCCAACUUAUAAGAGAGAAACAAAAUGUUGAGCAACAGAAAAAAGAGAAAAAUCUGGCUUUGGAUCAAUUAUACAUAAAGAAGUCAUCUGCUGUGGAAUCAUUGAAGUAUUCCAAAGAGGCUUUGGAACAGGCUGAAAGAAGUGUAGAAUCAGCAAAUUAUGCCAUAAGAGUACAUCAAGACAGGAUGAACACAUCCAAUGAUGUUGCAACUGCAGGGGCGAUACUGUGUGCAAUACCAAUUUUUGGAUGGAUUGCUGGUCCAAUCAUGAUUAGUGAGGGAGAGCAGGGAUUUGAAGAAGCUCUAAAUUCCUUGAGAGCUGCCGAAUGGGAAAAACAAAACGCUGAGUCUCAAAUUGCAAAAUAUGUCUGCUGCCUUCAUGUGGCUGCAAGAGGGAACACAACCAUUUCACACAACCCAAUAGGUAAAGGAAGGAAAUUAAAAGUUAAAUACAGGUCAUACCAGUCUCUACACCUCAUGCACUUCUCCAUCUGA